AACGCACGAGACCUGCGGACCUGCGGAGGGAUCAUUAAUGAGUUGCAAAACUCCCUAAACCAUUGUGAACCUACCUGUACCGUUCCUUCGGCGGGCCGCGUCAAGCCCUAACCCGUCUCCCUUUACGGGGGAUGGACCCGCCGGAGGCUCCUAAACUCUUAACUUUUGUUGGCAUCUCUGAGUAAAUCAAAAUAAGUCAAAACUUUUAACAACGGAUCUCU
rnacentral:misc_RNA from 1 species